UCCUGUCUACCAGGAUUUGUUUCCUAUUGUUCAAGUUUUUCAGCUGUCCAAGUUCAGUUGAGGUAAACAGGUGAUACAAGAUGGACGAACCGUGAAAUUUGACUUGUUUGAAUAAAAAUUACAAGUGACAAGAAUUCGUGUAAAGUUCCCAAAUAUUUUUGAUGUGAGUGGUUGCCAGAGACAUCCAAGCACUCCUUGAAUGUGAAUCAGAUGUGUUUUAUCAACUACAGAGCGAAAAAGGCGCCAACUACUACACGAUCCUGGAAUUUCAAUGUCAAUCAUCUUGAAUUACAAACAACAAUAUACGUGAAAAUUGGACUAUAUUGACUGGAAAUGAUCACCAGUAACCUGUUAAACAGGAUGGAGGGUGAAAACCGAUCCAAGGUUGAAAUUCACUCCAGGCCAAUUUGGCAUUGUCGGCAAGACUGAUUAAAGAGGUUCGAAAUUGAUAAGGCAUUCUGAAUUCCGUUUCAAUCUCUCUCACCAUUGUGCUUGAAUGUGGGCGACAUGAUUGGACCUUUAUGUAAUCGAGUGAUGUGUUUCCACCACAUGGAUGAAAAUUGCAAAUUGAGCCCCAUAUAAAGCGCCGUUAACGUAGUGGUCAUACAUCCUUGCUCAAUGGACUCGGAUCAUUGACUCGUAUCAUUGAGUUUGUCACAGGAGAGCAAUUGCUUGACAAUGAUUAUUAGUAUUAGUGGUUCUACUCAGAAUUUGAACGCACCGUCAACGAUUCAUGUUUGUACCAUAGUUGGCCUAUGUAUCUUGACUGCGAAUGAAACAUUUUGACACCCAGUAACAGCUGAAACGAAAACAUGCAAUAGCAAUAUUCUUAAAUGUUGCCGCAAAACUAUUCGGAUUAGUUAUGCGUAAUAGUCCUCUUUCCACAUUAGGGUAAUUAGUCAUGUGAAGUAAAGGAGAUUUAGGGAAAAAUGUAGUGCGGUGCCCUUUUUAUUGGAAAAAUUGUUUCAGGAGGACAUAGACAAACAUCACAGACAUCUUGCACCAUCGUCUGAUAAGGAAAAGGAAUGGUGAUAUUAAAUUCCUUAUAUAGAACAAGGAAUAAGGGAGAAAAUGUUUUUGGUCAUUCCAUUACAUUAUGUAUCAAAAAUUAUGUUGAGUUUCAAAAUAUGGGAUUGCUCCAUAAUAUAUUUUAUAUUUUCAAAAGUUUAGU